rnacentral:lncRNA from 1 species
AGCUAAAACAACAUGGUUCAUUGCACUAAAAAACACAAAUUUCAUUCCUGAAAAUUAACAAGUGAAAAUAAACCCUUACAAAUUUAUAAAAGUUAGAACGAAAAACAGUGAAAAACGUACCUUAAAACAACGACGACAACCGGAAUUGGAGCGUAUAGGUGACGCUAGGGUUUUCAGAUUGAGAUGAUUUGAGAGAGUUGAUCGAGAAGAGAGAUAUAAGCGUAAAAGUAGCUUUUGGAUUUUAGGAUUUUAAAGAAUAGUUAACGGAAAAUAUAACGGAGGACUAAAUUGAUGGAUGAAAAAUAGUUUAGGGACUAAAUUGAAGGAUGUGAAUAUAGUUUAGGGACCUUUUAGUUGGUUUUAAUAGUUUAGGGACUAAGUUGGUGAGAG